UACGUAGGGGCCUAGCGUUGUCCGGAAUUAUUGGGCGUAAAGAGCUCGUAGGCGGUUCGGCAAGUCGGAUGUGAAAUCUCCACGCUUAACGUGGAGGGGCCAUUCGAAACUGCUGUGACUCGAGUCCGGUAGGGGAGUGUGGAAUUCCCGGUGUGGCGGUGAAAUGCGCAGAUAUCGGGAGGAACACCAGUAGCGAAGGCGGCACUCUGGGCCGGUACUGACGCUGAGGAGCGAAAGCGUGGGGAGCGAACAGG
rnacentral:rRNA from 1 species